CUCUUUUCCAGGCUGAGAAGGCCCAGCUCUUGCAGCCUUUCCUCUUAGGAGAGAUGCUCCAGUCCUUAAUCAUCUUAGGACCCAUAUGUUUGAC